AAGUAGCCGUGAAUUUUAUUUAAUAGUAUUACAAUUGAAAAAAGUGUCACUCAUUCAGAAUGCUAUUUUACUAUAUCGGGUUGAAAACAAUAAAAAAAAAAUGGGCGAAAUAUACCAAAGGGACAUUCAAACUCGCAAGUCGAAAAUAAACUGACAACGUCAUGAAUAAAAAAAGAAAAAAGAAGACCAAAAGACCAUAUUCAGACAAACAAAUCAUUUAUGACAGCACAUAGUUGCAACUGCCAUAUCUACAUAAAGCAUUGAUGAUAUUAUAAUAAUCUAUAAAAAAAAAAGAUGUGGUAUGAUUGCAAAAAUGAGACAACUAUCCACAAAAGACCAAAAUGACACAGACAUUAACAACUAUAGGUCACCGUACGGCCUUCAACAAUGAGCAAUGCCCAUACCGCAUAGUCAGCUAUAAUAGGCCCCGAAUCUAACCGGUUUCGCAUUGUGUUUGAGCAUAUUAUAUGUAAAGCAUCUUGCAGAUAAUGCAUGUUUGAUUUACUUAGCGCAAAUGCAC
rnacentral:lncRNA from 1 species